AUCCAGCUGACGACUCCCAAAUAGGACGAAGCACAAGUCCUGGAU
rfam:Schistosoma mansoni strain Puerto Rico chromosome 1, complete genome